rnacentral:rRNA from 1 species
AUUGAACGCUGGCGGCAGGCUUAACACAUGCAAGUCGAGCGGGGACUUCGGUCCUAGCGGCGAACGGGUGAGGAAUGCUUGGGAAUCUGCCCAGUAGCGGGGGAUAACGUUUCGAAAGGAACGCUAAUACCGCAUACGCCCUACGGGGGAAAGGGGGGGAUCUUCGGACCUCUCACUAUUGGAUGAGCCCAAGUCGGAUUAGCUAGUUGGUGGGGUAAAGGCCUACCAAGGCGACGAUCCGUAGCUGGUCUGAGAGGACGAUCAGCCACACUGGAACUGAGACACGGUCCAGACUCCUACGGGAGGCAGCAGUGGGGAAUAUUGGACAAUGGGCGAAAGCCUGAUCUAGCCAUGCCGCGUGUGUGAAGAAGGCCUUCGGGUUGUAAAGCACUUUAAGCGAGGAGGAAUGGCUGAGGGUUAAUACCCUUGAUGAGUGGACGUUACUCGCAGAAUAAGCACCGGCUAACUCUGUGCCAGCCGCCGCAGUAACAC